GGUGGCUCAGUGGUAGAGCACUUGCCUACCAUGCAACAAGGCUCCAGGUUCAAUCCCCGACCUCUCCA